UUUCAUUCUUCCGUCCAUCUUCCUCUCAUUUUUUUUUUUGUAUCUGAUCUUCCUCUCAGUUUUUUCAAGUUUUUUAUCAGUUUAAAAUUUAUAGUUCUAGGCUAUUUGAUUUAUGAACAAAAAACAACAAGAAUCAAGCUUUUUUUUUUAUGAAUGAUGAUUGUACUGUUUUUUCUUAUGUAGGAUUUGGAAGGAAAGUAGGGUAUCCUAGUCAAACGAAUCUGAUAAAAACUUUUUCUAAAGGUAAUAUUUUUCUUUUGUUCUUCUUCUUCUUCUAAUUGUCUUUUUGAAAAUUGUAAUUAUUUUUUACUGUAUAGUCCUCGUCUUCCUCGUCAGGCUGCUGAAAGAAGAAUACGCAUAACAGUUUUCUGAGUUUCUUAUGGCGGAAGUUAGUGGAAAAACAGUGUACUGUUUGGUGUUUCAAGAGGAUAACUGCUGCAAAAUCUCUUGGAGAGGAUAUUUUCUGUUAGAAUUCAUACUACCAGAAUCUCUUGCAAGUGUAGAAGAGUAGAAGUCUAUGAGAAAAGCAGCAUUCUUCGAUGAAUUUCAUCAGUAUUGAAUUCAUUCAACUGAAGAUUGAAUAUAAAAGCAAAGGAACUUUUUUUAUUUGUUUUUAAUAUUUUCUCUAUGAAUCCAUCUUUCUUUUGUUUCCUGUUUUUUUUUUUGUUCUUCAGAUUCUAUCACCAGUGUAAAGAAAAAGAAAAAGAG
rnacentral:lncRNA from 1 species